rnacentral:tRNA from 1 species
GGGGUGUGGGAAAUAAGGCGUUUUUUUUGCCUGCUAAGCGGAUGUGGGGCUAAAACCCCACCCAGGGUUCGAAUCCCUGCCUCUCCGCCA